rnacentral:pre_miRNA from 17 species
GCGUGCCUGGCUCCCUGUAUGCCACUCAUGUAGCCCAAUCCAUGGUGUGUUUGGAUGCUGUGGGUGGCGUGCAAGGAGCCAAGCAUGC